rnacentral:rRNA from 1 species
GACGAACGCUGGCGGCGUGCCUAAUACAUGCAAGUAGAACGCACAGUUUAUACCGUAGCUUGCUACACCAUAAACUGUGAGUUGCGAACGGGUGAGUAACGCGUAGGUAACCUGCCUGGUAGCGGGGGAUAACUAUUGGAAACGAUAGCUAAUACCGCAUAAUAUUAAUUAUUGCAUGAUAAUUGAUUGAAAGAUGCAACUGCAUCACUACCAGAUGGACCUGCGUUGUAUUAGCUAGUAGGUGAGGUAACGGCUCACCUAGGCGACGAUACAUAGCCGACCUGAGAGGGUGAUCGGCCACACUGGGACUGAGACACGGCCCAGACUCCUACGGGAGGCAGCAGUAGGGAAUCUUCGGCAAUGGACGAAAGUCUGACCGAGCAACGCCGCGUGAGUGAAGAAGGUUUUCGGAUCGUAAAGCUCUGUUGUAAGAGAAGAACGGGUGUGAGAGUGGAAAGUU